rnacentral:rRNA from 1 species
GACGAACGCUGGCGGCGUGCUUAACACAUGCAAGUCGAACGGAAAGGCCCUGCUUUUGUGGGGUGCUCGAGUGGCGAACGGGUGAGUAACACGUGAGUAACCUGCCCUUGACUUUGGGAUAACUUCAGGAAACUGGGGCUAAUACCGGAUAGGAGCUCCUGCUGCAUGGUGGGGGUUGGAAAGUUUCGGCGGUUGGGGAUGGACUCGCGGCUUAUCAGCUUGUUGGUGGGGUAGUGGCUUACCAAGGCUUUGACGGGCAGCCGGCCUGAGAGGGUGACCGGCCACAUUGGGACUGAGAUACGGCCCAGACUCCUACGGGAGGCAGCAGUGGGGAAUAUUGCACAAUGGGCGGAAGCAGGAUGCAGCAACGCCGCGUGCGGGAGGACGGCCUUCGGGUUGUAAACCGCUUUCGCCUGUGACGAAGCGUGAGUGACGGGAAUGGGUAAAGAAGCACAAGAGAACUAUGU